rnacentral:lncRNA from 1 species
CCAUCCAGCCACUGCUACCUGUCACUCUCCAGCAGGUCCUCAGGAAAGCUUCCGGUGGAGAGUCGCUGUGUCCCCGGUUCUGGGGCAUCAUACUGCUGGCUGUUCUCAAAGUGCUGAAUGAUGUUCCUUACAUUGCCCGGCUUGACUGCAGGCAAAAAGAAAAUGAAGAACACUAUGCCUUUUGUUCCAGGAUGACUUCUUGGGGCACUCAAUCCCUUCUAGCCCGGAAGACAGCAACGACACACCAUGGCUUUGAGGGUUUCCCUCACUUAUGCAGAGCCCCGACUUUCGAAAGCUCAUCCGUGGAAAGGUGGCAGAGCUGGAAAAAGGCCCCAGCUUCUCCCGGGGAAAACCGUGAAGGACCUCGAAGGCUGGUCUCUGCCAGAACCAUAGGAAGCUCCACCCACCAGAGCCCAGGUCAGCAGACAAGGCCUCCCGCCAGCACCUGGGCAGGAGCUCGGGGUCUGUGUCACAGGGCAGCCACAGCAACAAGGAGGGACACACAAGAGACACGCGGAGAGAAGAAAGGGAGGGAAGAAAGGGGGCAGAAUGGAGAGGAGACGGAAAGGGCAUGAUGAGACAUGGAGAUGGAAACUUGAUGCUAAUGCAGAUACACCCGAAUAAAAUAGUCCUUUUACCUUCCACAGGGGACAAGGGAAUAUGAAAUGCUAAAAGAAAAACAAAGAAAAACAAAAAGUAAACCAUGAAAUGUCAAACUGAUGCUUCAAGAGCCAAAAUAAAAAUUACAUCAAGCUGGAAAACAAAAAGGUAGUGGCAAAACUCAAGGAGAAUCUAAAGAGUCCCUUCCUCCCCCUCCCUAAUGCAGCCACUUCAGAAAGGGCACCAGGCCCGCUCUACUGUGCCCUACAGACUCCCCAGUGCUCGAGACCUAAGACACUGACAGCGAGGGCCAGCACCGACCAAUGCCCAGACACAGG